rnacentral:rRNA from 1 species
CCUACGGGGGGCUGCAGUAAGGAAUAUUGGUCAAUGGACGAAAGUCUGAACCAGCCAUGCCGCGUGGAGGAUGAAGGUCCUCUGGAUUGUAAACUUCUUUUAUAUGGGACGAAAAAAGGCCUUUCUAGGCCGUCUGACGGUACCAUCUGAAUAAGCACCGGCUAACUCCGUGCCAGCAGCCGCGGUCAUACGGAGGGUGCAAGCGUUAUCCGGAUUCACUGGGGUUAAAGGGGGUGUAGAAUGCAGUAUAGAAAUCGUCGAGCUUAACUUGGAAACGGCCAUUGAUACUAUUAAUCUUGAAUAUUGUGGAGGUUAGCGGAAUAUGUCAUGUAGCGGUGAAAUGCUUAGAUAUGACAUAGAACACCAAUUGCGAAGGCAGCUGGCUACACAUAUAUUGACACUGAGGCACGAAAGCGUGGGGAUCAAACAGGAUUAGAUACCCUGGUAGUC